rnacentral:rRNA from 1 species
AGAACGAACGCUGGCGGCAGGCCUAACACAUGCAAGUCGAACGCCCCGCAAGGGGAGUGGCGCACGGGUGAGUAACGCGUGGGAAUGUGCCCUUGGGUGCGGAACAACGUCGGGAAACUGACGCUAAUACCGCAUAAUAUCUACGGAUCAAAGAUUUAUCGCCCAAGGAUCAGCCCGCGUUGGAUUAGGUAGUUGGUGGGGUAAUGGCCUACCAAGCCUACGAUCCAUAGCUGGUCUUAGAGGAUGAUCAGCCACACUGGAACUGAGACACGGUCCAGACUCCUACGGGAGGCAGCAGUGAGGAAUCUGGACAAUGGGGAAACCCUGAUCCAGCCAUGCCGCGUGAGUGAUGAAGGCCUUCGGGUUGUAAAGCGUCUUUCAGUAUGUAGAAGUAUAAUGACGGUAGCAUCAAGAAGAAGCUACCGGACUAACCGUCCGUAGCCAGCAGCCGA